rnacentral:rRNA from 1 species
UACGUAGGGGGCAAGCGUUGUCCGGAAUUAUUGGGCGUAAAGCGCGCGCAGGCGGCCUUGUAAGUCUGUUGUUUAAACUUGGGGCUCAACCCCAAGUCGCAAUGGAAACUGCAAAGCUUGAGUGCAGAAGAGGAAAGUGGAAUUCCACGUGUAGCGGUGAAAUGCGUAGAGAUGUGGAGGAACACCAGUGGCGAAGGCGGGUCUCUGGGCCGAUACUGACGCUGAGGAGCGAAAGCGUGGGGAGCAAACAGG